rnacentral:rRNA from 1 species
AUUGAACGCUGGCGGCAUGCUUUACACAUGCAAGUCGAACGGCAGCGCGGGCUUCGGCCUGGCGGCGAGUGGCGAACGGGUGAGUAAGGCAUCGGAACGUGCCCAGUAGUGGGGGAUAGCCCGGCGAAAGCCGGAUUAAUACCGCAUACGACCUGAGGGUGAAAGCGGGGGACCGAAAGGCCUCGCGCUAUUGGAGCGGCCGAUGUCGGAUUAGCUAGUUGGUGGGGUAAAGGCUUACCAAGGCGACGAUCCGUAGCUGGUCUGAGAGGACGACCAGCCACACUGGGACUGAGACACGGCCCAGACUCCUACGGGAGGCAGCAGUGGGGAAUUUUGGACAAUGGGGGCAACCCUGAUCCAGCCAUGCCGCGUGCGGGAAGAAGGCCUUCGGGUUGUAAACCGCUUUUGUUCGGGAAGAAAUCCUCUGGGCUAAUACCCCGGGGGGAUGACGGUACCGGAAGAAUAAGCACCGGCUAACUACGUG